AUCACAAAUGUGUACACUCCCUCACAGCAAGAUCUCAAGAUGGCAUUCCUAGACGAACUAAAACUAAUCGAACCACCACCACAAUCACCCUGGCUCCUAAUUGGAGACUUCAACCUCACCAGAUUCCCCAAUGAACGCAACAACAACAACUUCCGACGAUCGGAGGCUGACGCCUUCAACGACAUCAUUGAUCAACUUGCUCUCUUAGAGCUCCCACUCCUUGAUAGAGAGUUCACCUGGUCAAAUAAAAGGCUGUCUCCCACAUUAAUCCGUCUGGAUAGGGUUCUAAUCAACCUCGCUUGGGAUGCUAUUUUCCCAAACUCACACCUCACCUCUCUCACUAGGUUUAUUUCUGAUCACGUUCCACUACUAGUCACAGUAUCCACGUCCGUCCCAUCUUCCCGCCUUUUUCGAUUUGAACGAUUCUGGACUUCAUUUCCAGCUUGUGCAAAUGUAGUAUGCGACUGUUGGCAGCCCAACUCUCACUGUCAUGGGCCUCCCAUGGACCAUGCUGCCGCCCUUGCUAUAUGCAUUAAAUCUACACGACCGGCCCUAAAAUCUUGGGCCAAAACGCUGCAGCCCAUCUACCAAAGAGAAACAAACUGCAAACUGGCCAUCCAGGCCCUUGAUCUAAACGAGGAACUCGCUCCACUCCUCCCGCUUGAACAUUAA
rnacentral:rRNA from 1 species